GCCAAAAUAGACAAUGAUAUUGUUCUGCAAAAAUGGGAUGGCACUUCAAACACCUGUUGUAAGAUUAUAUGAUUAUUGUCAGAUAAAAGUUCAGAGGACAAGACAGGUGAACCAUACCCUUCAUGUAAACAGGGAAGAAGAUUAUUUUCAUCUGCAAGAAAAUCACAUUGCGAGUGCAAAAUGGUCUGUAAAUAAAGAUACACUAAUAAAUUAUAAAACAGAACUUUACUUACAGUUAAGAAACUAAAAGAACUUAAAGAAUAAAUACCCUCGAGUGCAUCGGUAAUCGACGGAACUUAUUCUCUUGACCGCUGGUCCGAAACUGACUGUUCCUCGGCCGCUUAUGGCCAUCUCCUGC
rnacentral:lncRNA from 1 species